rnacentral:rRNA from 1 species
CCUACGGGAUGCACCAGUGGGGAAUAUUGCACAAUGGGCGCAAGCCUGAUGCAGCCAUGCCGCGUGUAUGAAGAAGGCCUUCGGGUUGUAAAGUACUUUCAGUGGGGAGGAAGGCGAUAAGGUUAAUAACCUUGUCGAUUGACGUUACCCGCAGAAGAAGCACCGGCUAACUCCGUGCCAGCAGCCGCGGUAAUACGGAGGGUGCAAGCGUUAAUCGGAAUUACUGGGCGUAAAGCGCACGCAGGCGGUUUGUUAAGUCAGAUGUGAAAUCCCCGGGCUCAACCUGGGAACUGCAUCUGAUACUGGCAAGCUUGAGUCUCGUAGAGGGGGGUAGAAUUUCAGGUGUAGCGGUGAAAUGCGUAGAGAUCUGAAGGAAUACCAGUGGCGAAGGCGGCCCCCUGGACAAAGACUGACGCUCAGAUGCGAAAGCGUGGGGAGCAAACAGGAUUAGAUACCCGUGUAGUC